rnacentral:rRNA from 1 species
CAGUAGCCGCGGGAAUACGAAGGGGGCUAGCGUUGUUCGGAUUUACUGGGCGUAAAGGGCGCGUAGGCGGACUGAUAAGUCAGGGGUGAAAUCCCAAGGCUCAACCUUGGAACUGCCUUUGAUACUGUUUGUCUUGAGUUCGAGAGAGGUAAGUGGAACUGCGAGUGUAGAGGUGAAAUUCGUAGAUAUUCGCAAGAACACCAGUGGCGAAGGCGGCUUACUGGCUCGAAACUGACGCUGAGGCGCGAAAGCGUGGGGAGCAAACAGGAUUAGAUACCCCCGUAGUCCCUGUCUCUUAUAC